GACGAACGCUGGCGGCGUGCCUAAUACAUGCAAGUAGAACGCUGAAGGAGGAGCUUGCUUCUCUGGAUGAGUUGCGAACGGGUGAGUAACGCGUAGGUAACCUGCCUGGUAGCGGGGGAUAACUAUUGGAAACGAUAGCUAAUACCGCAUAAUAGUAGAUGUUGCAUGACAUUUGCUUAAAAGGUGCAAUUGCAUCACUACCAGAUGGACCUGCGUUGUAUUAGCUAGUUGGUGAGGUAACGGCUCACCAAGGCGACGAUACAUAGCCGACCUGAGAGGGUGAUCGGCCACACUGGGAAGGAGAAAAGGCCCAGAAUCCUAAGGGAGGCAGCAGUAGGGAAUCUUCGGCAAUGGACGGAAGUCUGACCGAGCAACGCCGCGUGAGUGAAGAAGGUUUUCGGAUCGUAAAGCUCUGUUGUAAGAGAAGAACGAGUGUGAGAGUGGAAAGUUCACACUGUGACGGUAUCUUACCAGAAAGGGACGGCUAACUACGUG
rnacentral:rRNA from 1 species